AUAUUACAGAUUGGCGGGCAAACUUAACAGUGAGCAAUUUUAAAAUGUAGUGGCAACGCUUAUUAUAAAAUACUGGAGUUAACAUAAAUAUUGAGUUACCAAUUCUGGUUGCAUACAUACAAUGCAUUUGGAAGAGAAAUGACAAUUACGUGGUGACAUUAUUUGAGUGGCAACGAUAGAAUAUACUAGAUUGAACAUGGAAUUAUUUAGUAACAAUUUCUGGUAACACUACGUUUGGAAAAGCUUUUUUAUCAUCAUGGCAAACAUGUGGCCAUCGCGCGGCUGCCCCGCUUGUCUCGUCUAGGAUCUGCGCCGAAUUGAGAGCAUCGUCUGUGCUUGCAUUGUUGAAUGAACAAUGCAAGCGUAUUGCACUUGCCCGUUGGUGAUAGUGUGAGGCAGCAAGUCAUCUGGCUGCUUGUAGUGGCCACCACUGCAGUGUGUGCAGUGGCAUCGUGAAAUGUGAGGCAGCGAGUCAUCUGCCCCAGUUUGGUUGCUGCAUGUGGUGGUGCGUGUAGUGAUGUUGUGAGUCGCCAUCUCUGAGAGUGAGCAAGCGUGCUGCACUUGCCCGUUGGUGGAUUUGUGAGGCAGCAAGUCAUCUGCCCCAGGUUAGUUGCUGCGUGGAGUGGUGCGUGCGGUGAGCAUCGUCGCCGUCUGUGUGAGUGAGCUGGGCACUGUACCACAAGUGCUUCGUGGGACAGUGUAGAUGCAUCAGUUAUGUUUGUGAGUGAAUCGCGGAAACAAUUGCCGAUGGCCUUUUGUUGU